UACGAAGGGGGCUAGCGUUGCUCGGAAUUACUGGGCGUAAAGGGCGCGUAGGCGGGUCUUUAAGUCAGGGGUGAAAUCCUGGAGCUCAACUCCAGAACUGCCUUUGAUACUGAGGAUCUUGAGUUCGGGAGAGGUGAGUGGAACUGCGAGUGUAGAGGUGAAAUUCGUAGAUAUUCGCAAGAACACCAGUGGCGAAGGCGGCUCACUGGCCCGAUACUGACGCUGAGGCACGAAAGCGUGGGGAGCAAACAGG
rnacentral:rRNA from 1 species